rnacentral:rRNA from 1 species
AUACGGAGGGUGCAAGCGUUACUCGGAAUCACUGGGCGUAAAGCGCGCGCAGGCGGCUAUUUAAGUUGGAUGUGAAAGCCUACGGCUCAACCGUAGAACUGCAUCCAAAACUAUUUAGCUAGAGUGUGGGAGAGGAAGAUGGAAUUAGUUGUGUAUGGGUAAAAUCCGUAGAGAUAACUAGGAAUACCAAAAGCGAAGGCAAUCUUCUGGAACACUACUGACGCUGAGGCGCGAAAGCGUGGGGAGCAAACGGGAUUAGAUACCCUGGUAGUCC